AACCCUGUCCUUAGUUACCAGCACGUUAUGGUGGGCGACUCUAAGGAGACUGCCGGUGACAAACCGGAGGAAGGUGGGGAUGACGUCAAGUCAUCAUGGCCCUUACGGCCUGGGCUACACACGUGCUACAAUGGUCGGUACAAAGGGUUGCCAAGCCGCGAGGUGGAGCUAAUCCCAUAAAACCGAUCGUAGUCCGGAUCGCAGUCUGCAACUCGACUGCGUGAAGUCGGAAUCGCUAGUAAUCGUGAAUCAGAAUGUCACGGUGAAUACGUUCCCGGGCCUU
rnacentral:rRNA from 1 species